rnacentral:rRNA from 1 species
UACGUAGGGUGCAAGCGUUGUCCGGAAUCACUGGGCGUAAAGCGCACGUAGGCGGACUCGUAGGUCACUUGUGAAAUACCUGGGCUCAACCCAGGAACUGCAGUUGAAACCACUUGUCUUGAAUACCUGAGAGGGUGGGGGAAUACCUGGUGGAGAAGUGAAAUUCGUAGAGAUCAGGUGGAAUACCGGAGGCGAAGGCGCCUGCCUGGCAGUGUAUUGACGCUGAGGUGCGAAAGUGCGGGGAGCAAACAGG